rnacentral:rRNA from 1 species
UACGUAGGGUGCAAGCGUUGUCCGGAAUUAUUGGGCGUAAAGAGCUCGUAGGCGGUCUGUCGCGUCUGCUGUGAAAACUCAGGGCUUAACCCUGAGCUUGCAGUGGGUACGGGCAGACUAGAGUGCGGUAGGGGAGACUGGAAUUCCUGGUGUAGCGGUGAAAUGCGCAGAUAUCAGGAGGAACACCGGUGGCGAAGGCGGGUCUCUGGGCCGUAACUGACGCUGAGGCGCGAAAGCGUGGGUAGCAAACGGG